UUUAAGCAUAUCACUCAGUGGAGGAAGAGCAAGCAACUGCGAUUGCUCCAGUAACGGCGAGUGAACUGGCAAUACCUGGCUCAUCCCGAAGUGAAUCCCAUUGGCAACACCCUGCCCCCUUCCAAAGGGGUGUGUUGGGCGUUUGCGAACGGCUUUCGUGGAUCUCAGCAGAUGCUGUGGGCAAUGGAGCAGGCGGCAGUGCCACCGGUGACCAUCCGCACCAGGAAAGGCCCUGGAAUGGCCUACCACAGAGGGAUACUGUCCCCCACGACGCUGUGUGUGGGUGGUUGCCGGAGGCGUUGCUGCCUGCAUCCAGGAGUAGAGUGGCUUGGGACUGCAGUUUGAAGUGCAAGGUGUAUCCCUUGCAAGGCAGAAUACCAACAUGGGACCGAUAGAGCACAAGUAGAGCGAUUGAAGGAUGCAAAGGACUCUGCAAAGAGGGUUAAAAGUCCCUGAAGCUGCAACAGGAACAGUGGAGAGUGGUGCUGUGGCUCGCCAGUCUGGCCCAGCCCGCCCCCUCGGCAGUGCCUGGCCCCGACGAAGCAAAGCCCCGAGGAGGGGAUUCCCCUUUGCCUGUCCGGAGGGGCCGCCGCCGAUGGGACGGGUCGAGAGAGGCCCUGGCCCCUUGUGAAAUCGAAACCCAAGCAACCUUGGGCCGGCCCAGUGCUGGCCACUGAGCCCUUCCCCGCAGGGGGGGACGCAAUCGUGGCAGCAUUUGGUGGCACCCUGCCUGGCAGGGCCUGAGGUGGAAGAGAGAGAGCGAUCCCCUGAGAGUGUGAUCACACCCACACCGUGACGACCCCUCUCUCCCACGGCACCUGCUGUGUGAGAGAGAGAGAGAGAAAGAAAAGGACGGGUCUCGUGUGUGUGGAGGAGAGAGCAACACCUGGCUGGAACCUGGGGCACCUUUUCAGGUAGCCCCAGUCAUCAUUGCCCAGUGGUAUAUGGACCUGGAGCCUGUGGCACAGCGACGGUGGCUGCACUGGUUUGUGCUGGUGGCCCUGUGCGGCCAUGGGCUCCCCAGAUGGUGCAAUGUGCAGGUUGGCAGCUUGAGCUUGGCAGUGUCAGUGCCACUCUCUGCCCGUCUUGAAACACGGACCAAGGAGUCUAUGGAGCUUGCAUGUUGGCUGGUUUGACCUGAAGCCCAGAGCGAAGGGCGUAGUGAAGGCAACUCUCCCAGAUGAUGUGGCUGCUGUUGCGAGGAGAGGAGAGAGAGAGAGAGAGAAAGCAACGGCGAAGACCGGGCUGCAUGGGACACCGGUUCCGAAGUCCAGUGGACAGGAUUCUGAGUGCUUGCAAGGUCCAUGGGACCCGAAAGGUGGCGAACUAUACCGUUCCACGACGAAGCCGUGGGAAACUGCGGUGGAGGUCGGUCGCUGUUCUGACGUGCAAAUUGUGUAGCCUGAGUGCGGCAUAGGGGUGAAAGGCCAAUCGAGCCACCUAGUAGCUGGUUUCCCUCGAAGUUUCCUCAGGAUAGCA
rnacentral:rRNA from 1 species